rnacentral:snRNA from 1 species
CCCGGUAAACCGGAAGCAAA